AUUGAACGCUGGCGGCAUGCCUAACACAUGCAAGUCGAACGGAGGUAGGGGCAACUCUACUUCAGUGGCGGACGGGUGAGGAAUGCGUCGGAAUCUACCCUAUGGUGGGGGAUAACACAGGGAAACUUGUGCUAAUACCGCAUGAUGUCGAGAGACCAAAGCAGGGGACCGCAAGGCCUUGCGCGAUAGGAUGAGCCGACGCCCGAUUAGCUAGUUGGUAGGGUAAUGGCCUACCAAGGCGACGAUCGGUAGCUGGUCUGAGAGGAUGAUCAGCCACACUGGGACUGAGACACGGCCCAGACUCCUACGGGAGGCAGCAGUGGGGAAUAUUGGACAAUGGGCGCAAGCCUGAUCCAGCAAUGCCGCGUGUGUGAAGAAGGCCUGCGGGUUGUAAAGCACUUUUGUUCGGGAAGAAAUCAUGCUGGCUAAUACCUGGUAUGGAUGACGGUACCGAAAGAAUAAGCACCGGCUAACUUCGUGCCAGCAGCCGCGGUAAAAC
rnacentral:rRNA from 1 species